UGAUGUGGCAACCUAUGGUGAAGGUGUUUUGGAAGUUUGGGAGGGAAUUGAUUCUGAUUUCUCAAUACACACAUGAAUAUACAAUGGACACGGGAUCCGGAAUUAUUCGGGUCGGACUUUUGGGUUUCGAAGGCACCUUUUCACUAUCCGGAUCAUAUAAAGGCUAUUAGGUCUCAAUUAUUGGUUUUUCCCACCUACCGACACCAUCAAAUUUCUUUGUUCUCUCUUGCACAAGUCGCUCUUCUUUGCCGAUCUUGAUGCUUCAUUAUUGAUUAUUGAUGUUGAAGACAAAGAUGAAGACGAGGAUAAUUAUUGAUGAAUCAAUACGGUUUACUCUCCAGGCAUGUUUUCUUCAUGAAUUAAUACCACGUUUUGUGAUAUUUUUUGUUCAGGUUACGUUUAGUUCAGAUUAGGUUUUUUUUGUUCAGAUUUGUUACAUCGAUUUGUUAGGUUCUUUUUGUUCAGAUUUGUUACAUCGAUUUGUUCAGAUUAUGGUUUUUUUGUUAAGAUUUGUUACAUCGAUUUGUUCAGAUUAGGGUUUUUUUGUUCAGAUUUGUUACAUCGAUUUGUUCAGAUUAGGGUUUCUUUUUGUUCAAAUGUUUUCGUUGAUUUGUUCAUAAUAAUCAUGUUUUUUGUUUUUGAAAGUGUAAACCCUAAAUCCUCAUGUUUACGAACGGUGGUUAUCCGAUUGUUGUUGUUGUUUGUUGAUUUGAACGUUGAAGAAGAAUGAAGGUGUGUUAGGGUGUUGGCUGGAUCCGAAAUGCUUUUUAGGGUUACGCAUGACGGAGAGGAUGAGACUACUUCAUUAACGUUUGGUGUUGGAAGACUACCUAAAUGGUAGCCGUAUCGAUGAUGAUGUUUAGUUAGUGAAGUGGUUAGUCGGUGUAAGUACAUCCAACUGCAAAGGUGUAAGGCUUAUGGAUUGUAUCAUCCUAGAUGGUGCUGAAAUACAUGUACGAUUUGCCACUUUGGAUCUAAUGUUUGUUGUUGUUUCAUUGCAAAUUGCACUAAGAACUGGUGGACCUAAUUGUCAUUUUAAAGUUGAAUCAUUAUUCAUACAUAUCUGUUUUCAAUGAGAUUACUAUAAAUAAAUGGGGAGUCUGAGAUA